rfam:Labrenzia sp. VG12 chromosome, complete genome.
AUUUCCGAUUCCAAGCUGCCCGACAUGCAGGCCGGCUGGGAGCAGGGCAUGACCAAUGCGCUCGCCGGGCUCGCGGGCCUCAACAUGUGUUACGAGGCCG